rnacentral:tRNA from 1 species
ACAGUUGUAGCUCAAAGGUAGAACACUUGCCUAGCAUGUAUGAGGUACUGGGUUCAAUCCUCAGCACUAUA